rnacentral:rRNA from 1 species
ACACCAACUUCUUUUAUUAAACAAAAACCAAUACAAAAUUAAAAACUAACUUCAUCAAAAACCAAGUCUCUAAGCAAUGGAUGUCUUGGCUCCUCACACGAUGAAGAACGUGGCAUAAUGUGUUAAGUAACCGGAGUUGCAAACAUCAUGACAGGUUAAUCUUUGAAUGCAAAUUGCGCUAAACUCGAUCUCGGUCGAGAAGCAUGGGUGUGACAGUACUACAUCUUUUAUAAUAAUUCUUAUUCUAAGCGAAUAAGUAAAUAAUAUAUAAGACAAACAACACGUAGUCUGCCAUACGCAGGAAGACCCGCUGAACUGAAGCAUCUCAUUAAGCGG